rnacentral:rRNA from 1 species
GCCCUUCCUACGGGAGGCAGCAGUGAGGAAUAUUGGUCAAUGGGCGGGAGCCUGAACCAGCCAAGUCGCGUGAAGGAAGAAGGAUCUAUGGUUCGUAAACUUCUUUUGCAGGGGAAUAAAGUGCAGGACGUGUCCUGUUUUGUAUGUACCCUGAGAAUAAGGAUCGGCUAACUCCGUGCCAGCAGCCGCGGUAAUACGGAGGAUCCGAGCGUUAUCCGGAUUUAUUGGGUUUAAAGGGUGCGUGGGUGGUUUGAUAAGUCAGCGGUGAAAGUUUGCAGCUUAACUGUAAAAAUGCCGUUGAAACUGUCGGACUUGAGUGUAAAUGAGGUAGGCGGAAUGCGUGGUGUAGCGGUGAAAUGCAUAGAUAUCACGCAGAACUCCGAUUGCGAAGGCAGCUUACUAAGCUACAACUGGCACUGAAGCACGAAAGCGUGGGGAUCAAACAGGAUUAGAUACCCUGGUAGUCCACGCAGUAAACGAUGAUUACUAGCUGUUUGCGAUACACAGUAAGCGGCACAGCGAAAGCGUUAAGUAAUCCACCUGGGGAGUACGCCGGCAACGGUGAAACUCAAAGGAAUUGACGGAAGGGC